GAUGAACGCUGGCGGCGUGCCUAAUACAUGCAAGUCGAGCGAACAGACGAGGAGCUUGCUACUCUGACGGUAACGGCGGACGGGUGAGUAACACGUGGAUAACCUACCUAUAAGACUGGGACAAGUUCGGGAAACCGGAGCCAAUACCGGAUAAUAUCUUCAACCGCAGGGUUCAAUAGUGAAAGACGGUUUUGCUGUACCCUCUACAUAGCUCCGCGCCGCAUUGGCAGGUUGGUAGGGUAACGGCUUCCGAAGGCAACGAUGGGUUGCCGACCUGAUAGGGGGUACGGCCCCACUGGAACUGAGACGCGGUCCAGGGUCCUACGGGAGGCAGCAGUAGGGACUGUUCGGCACUGGGCGGAAGCCUGAAGGAGCGGCGCCGCGUGGGUGAUGAAGGGCUUCGUAUCGUAAAACUCUGUUAUGGUGGAAGAACGAUUUUGUCAGGAGCUAUGCACGUCUUGACGGUACCUGCUGAGAAAGCACCGGCUAACUACGUG
rnacentral:rRNA from 1 species